CCCUUCUCAGGAUCACACCUGGAGAGUUUCCGCUAUUCUACCGGUCUCAACUACGGGAGGGAGAGUCAAGCAGAGGCAGACCCAAUCCAUUCCUAGCUUGGCCAGUGGCUAGCGAGUGGAAGGCAAUCUGCUACAAGU